rnacentral:rRNA from 1 species
AACGAACGCUGGCGGCAUGCCUAACACAUGCAAGUCGAACGAACCCUUCGGGGUUAGUGGCGCACGGGUGCGUAACGCGUGGGAAUCUGCCCUUUGCUUCGGAAUAACAGUUAGAAAUGACUGCUAAUACCGGAUGAUGUCUUCGGACCAAAGAUUUAUCGGCAAAGGAUGAGCCCGCGUAGGAUUAGGUAGUUGGUGGGGUAAAGGCCUACCAAGCCGACGAUCCUUAGCUGGUCUGAGAGGAUGAUCAGCCACACUGGGACUGAGACACGGCCCAGACUCCUACGGGAGGCAGCAGUGGGGAAUAUUGGACAAUGGACGCAAGUCUGAUCCAGCAAUGCCGCGUGAGUGAUGAGGGCCUUAGGGUUGUAAAGCUCUUUUACCAGGGAUGAUAAUGACAGUACCUGGAGAAUAAGCUCCGGCUAACUCCGUGCCAGCCGCCGCAGUAAUAC